AGAAACAAAGAAGAAAAAGGGGAAGAAAAAUUUGUUGCUCAUCCAUGGGUGCCUUGGCCGAAUAGAAGAAAGGAAAUUGAAAAAAAAAAAAAAUAUUGGCUCAUCUUCCUCCUAGCUUAGCCGAUCCUUCAAGAAGAAAAGGGAAGACUUAGCAUUCGGUCACUUGAGCUUGAACUAAGCUCAAGAGCAAAGGGAAACUAGAUUGGACAAAGGAAAGGAGAAAGCAAACGAGUAGCCGAUUUGGAACCAUUCUACCCCAAACAAGGUCUCUCGGACUCUUAUUGUUUGCGUGAUCGGGACCGUCGUUGAAGUCAUCACACCGGCUGAAAUCUUGUGGUAUUGUUUUCGUUGUUGAAGAACAUUUGGCAUGUAUAGGCUAUUAUAUUUUGUCGAAUUGAGGGUUGUAAACUUUAAGCCAUGUGAAAAUGGCCUAUGUGGUCGCCGAGUGGGAUGCUAGAACUUAUAG